UACUGCAUUUUUUCUUACACAUGUGUUUUUCUUUUUGAAAACUUUGCUUUGGUAGGCCUUCUAUAUGGGGCCUGCCAGAGAUUAAACUCAACCAAAUUUUAUUUAAUGUCAACCGAUUAUUUAAUAGUCAAAACUUUCAACAACGGAUCUCUUGGUUCUCGCAUCGAUGAAGAACGCAGCGAAAUGCGAUAAGUAAUAUGAAUUGCAGAUAUUCGUGAAUCAUCGAAUCUUUGAACGCACAUUGCGCCCUUUGGUAUUCCAAAGGGCAUGCCUGUUUGAGCGUCAUUUCUCCCUCAAACCCUCGGGUUUGGUGUUGAGCGAUACGCUGGGUUUGCUUGAAAGAAAGGCGGAGUAUAAACUAAUGGAUAGGUUUUUUCCACUCAUUGGUACAAACUCCAAAACUUCUUCCAAAUUCGACCUCAAAUCAGGUAGGACUACCCGCUGAACUUAAGCAUAUCAAUAAGCGGGAG
rnacentral:rRNA from 1 species